rnacentral:rRNA from 1 species
GCCUUCCCGGUGAGUCUGCGGGCUUAAACGGACGCGGUAAAGCGUGCUAAGGUAGCUAAAUUAUGGCCUAUUAAUUGUAGGUCCUGUGAAUGGUUUGACGAGUCUUCAACUGUCUCUAGUUUUUUUGGUGAACUUGAAUUGGAUGUGCAAAUGCUUCCAUGGGUAAGAAAGACGAGAAGACCCCGUGAAGUUAGAAAUUUUGGUUGUUGGUGAGCUUUGUUGGGUGUAGGUCAGGCCACUUUAAGUGGUUUGAAAGAAAAGUGAACAGCGAUAGUUUUGGCUGGGGCAGCAAAGAAGCAAGGUUAGACUUCUUUAGUUUAAGGACAGGUGUGUGACGACCCACAAGUUUGUUGGUGUGAUUAGCAGAAGAAGUUACUCCGGGGAUAACA